rnacentral:rRNA from 1 species
GACGAACGCUGGCGGCGUGCUUAACACAUGCAAGUCGAACGGAAAGGCCCUGCUUUUGUGGGGUGCUCGAGUGGCGAACGGGUGAGUAACACGUGAGUAACCUGCCCUUGACUUUGGGAUAACUUCAGGAAACUGGGGCUAAUACCGGAUAGGAGCUCCUGCUGCAUGGUGGGGGUUGGAAAGUUUCGGCGGUUGGGGAUGGACUCGCGGCUUAUCAGCUUGUUGGUGGGGUAGUGGCUUACCAAGGCUUUGACGGGUAGCCGGCCUGGGAGGGUGACCGGCCACGAUGGGACUGGGAUAAGGCCCAGACUACAACGGGAGGCAGGAGUGGGGAAUAUUGCACAAUGGGCGGAAGCCUGAUGCAGCCACGCCGCGUGCGGGAUGACGGCCUGCGGGUUGUAAACCGCUUUCGCCUGUGACGAAGCGUGAGUGACGGUAAUGGGUAAAGAAGCACCGGCUAACUACGUG